CCUACGGGUGGCAGCAGUGAGGAAUAUUGGUCAAUGGGCGAGAGCCUGAACCAGCCAAGUCGCGUGAAGGAUGACGGCCCUACGGGUUGUAAACUUCUUUUGUCAGGGAGCAAUUGAGUCCACGUGUGGGCUUAGCGAGAGUACCUGAAGAAAAAGCAUCGGCUAACUCCGGGCCAGCAGCCGCGGUAAUACGGGGGAGGCGAGCGUUACCCGGAUUUUUUGGGUUAAAGGGGUGCGUAGGCGGAAGAUCAAGUCAGCGGUAAAUAUCGGGGGCUCAACCCCGUCGUGCCGUUGAAACUGUUGUUCUAGAGUGGACGAGAGGUAUGCGGAAUGCAUGGUGUAGCGGUGAAAUGCAUAGAGAUCACACAGAACACCGAUUGCGAAGGCAGCAUACCGGGGUCCAACUGACGCUGAAGCACGAAAGCGUGGGUAUCGAACAGGAUUAGAUACCCCAGUAGUC
rnacentral:rRNA from 1 species